rnacentral:rRNA from 1 species
AGAGUUUGAUCCUGGCUCAGAAUGAACGCUGGCGGCGUGCUUAACACAUGCAAGUCGCACGAGAACGCUUCAGCUUGCUGGAGCUAGUAAAGUGGCGCACGGGUGAGUAACGCGUGGGUAAUCUACCUCCGAAUUGGGGAUAACACUGCGAAAGCGGUGCUAAUACCGAAUGACAUCUCAGGGACCUCGGUCUCUAAGAUCAAAGGUGGCCUCUACAUGUAAGCUACUGUUUGGAGAUGAGCCCGCGUACCAUUAGCUAGUUGGUAGGGUAAUGGCCUACCAAGGCUGCGAUGGUUAGCUGGUCUGAGAGGAUGAUCAGCCACACUGGAACUGACACACGGUCCAGACUCCUACGGGAGGCAGCAGUGAGGAAUUUUGCGCAAUGGGGGAAACCCUGACGCAGCAACGCCGCGUGAGUGAUGAAGGCUUUCGGGUCGUAAAGCUCUGUCAAGUGGGAAGAAUAUGCCCUGUGAUAAUACCAUGGGGCACUGACGGUACCACUGAAGGAAGCACCGGCUAACUCCGUGCCAGCAGCCGCGGUAAUACGGGGGGUGCAAGCGUUAUUCGGAAUCAUUGGGCGUAAAGGGCGCGUAGGCGGCCCCUUAAGUCAGAUGUGAAAGCCCUCAGCUUAACUGAGGAAGUGCAUUUGAAACUAAGGGGCUUGAGUAUGGGAGAGGGAAGCGGAAUUCCUGGUGUAGCGGUGAAAUGCGUAGAUAUCAGGAGGAACACCGGUGGCGAAGGCGGCUUCCUGGACCAAUACUGACGCUGAGGCGCGAAGGCGUGGGGAGCAAACAGGAUUAGAUACCCUGGUAGUCCACGCAGUAAACUGUGAACACUAGGUGUAGCGGGUAUUGACCCCUGCUGUGCCGAAGCUAACGCAUUAAGUGUUCCGCCUGGGAAGUACGGUCGCAAGGCUAAAACUCAAAGGAAUUGACGG